GAAGUUAAGUUCCUUGGACCGAAGCCGAGAGCGUCAGCGAACUCUGAGUCUUAGCUCAUCUUCUCUGCGAGUCCCAGUGUGCUUCUGUGUCUUUGCCAUGAGUAAUCGCUGCUUUGGAACGCUCGGUGGAUCUGCAGUGAAUACAAGCUCCGUGAUAGCCGAGAUGUUGUUUCGUUCAUCGCCAGAUCCCCAACAGGACAGCAGAGCCUAGCCUGGGAAGGCUCGUGAACUUCCAAACCUUGUAUCUCGCUGAAG